rnacentral:rRNA from 1 species
UUAAAAAGCUCGUAGUUGGAUUUCUGGGAGGGUGCCAAUGUCCGCCAACGUGCGUGUGCAGCGGCGCCCUUCCAUCCUUCUGUUAACGCCUCUUGGCAUUCAUUUGCUGGUGGCGGGCUCAGAUAUUUUACCUUGAGAAAAUUAGAGUGUUUCAGGCAGGCUAGGCCGGAAUACAUUAGCAUGGAAUAAUGGAAUAGGACUAUGGUCUCUUUGUUGGUUUGAGGGACUGCAGUAAUGAUUAAUAGGGAUAGUUGGGGGCAUUAGUAUUUAAUUGUCAGAGGUGGAAUUCUCAGAUUUGUUAAAGACUAACUUAUGCGGAAGCAUUUGCCAAGGAUGUUUUCAUUAAUCAAGAACGAAAGUUAGGGGAUCAAAGACGAUCAGAUACCGUCCUAGUCUUAACCAUAAACUAUGCCGACUCGGGAUCGGGGGCGAGCACUAUCCGCCUUCGGCACCGUAUGAGAAAUCAAAGUCUUCGGGUUCUGGGGGGAGUAUGGUCGCAAGGCUGAAACUUAAAGGAAUUGACGGAAGGGCACCACCAGGCGUGGAGCUUGCGGCUCAAUUUGACUCAACACGGGAAAACUUACCAUGUCCAGACAUAGUGAGGAUUGACAGAUCGAUAGCUCUUUCUUGAUUCUAUGGGUGUGGUGCAUG